UAAUUCUUCUCAUUCCUAAAGGAAAUGAAGAAGUGCUAUCCUAAAGCUGGUGUGUAUAGAUCCUGUGAAUGUUUCUGUACUUUUACUAUAUGUGUAUAUAUUUCUUCAUUUCCUUUAGGAAUGAGAAAGAACUAGAUGGGUUUCAGCUGGAUCCAUUUUAUUUCUACAGGAGAGAACUAAGCAAAUGUGGUAAAAUGUUAACAUUUGUUAAAUCUGAGUGGUGCAUCCCUAGGUUUCUUUUAUACUGCUUUCUGUAUGUUUGCAACAUUUUAUAAUUAAAAUUUGUCUGUGUGAUAUAUAAUAAGGAUACACACGUGGAAGAGGCUAGCGGGCACCAAAAUAUAAACAGCAACUCUAUUGGCAAAGUAUAGCACAAACUUAUUUUCUUUAAGCUUUUCUGUAUUUUUAAAAUUUAUAUAGUAAGUAUGAUAUAAGAAAUAAAAACAGGACAUGUCUUUUUAGGAAGCAACAAUGUUGUAGGCAAAGAGUGCUGCAGUGGAGUAUGGAAUCUGCUCCUAUGUGACACUGGUUGAUUCACGUAGGCACUUUGUGGCAGUUUCCUCACCUGCACGGUGGUUUUAUGGGCCACGGGCUCACUAAACCGACUUAUUCUUCCUGGUAACCUGCAUACAGACCUCCCAGGCCCUGGUGUGAAGGUGGCUCUGUGACUAACUCUUGCUGGUGGAGUGGGAGGAGGCAGUUAGAAAUUUUCAUAUGGUCAGAAUACCCACGGAAUAUAUGAGUGGCAGCAGUAAACAGUCCUUGAAGUUCUUGGUUGUUUAACUUGACUAUUGGUGAGGCCCAGUGAGGCCCUGUCUGCUCCAAGCAAAUUACAUAAAAAAGAUGUGAAUAAAAACUCAUCAAAUACUAACAGAGACUGUGUCUAAGAUGCCAAUUGAAGACUGGAACAGCCAUUUGAAUGUGGGGUAUUCCUGGAAACCUGCUCUAGUAGGCACUGGAGAAGCCACAGGAGCCUGUCAAUAUAGAAUAGACACACUUUGUGCUCAAUAAUAAUUCACUAAUUGACGAAUAUAUUGAUGGAGUGUUGGUUUGCUUCACAAUCUGCUGGGAAAAACAUACUCAUUUUUGGAUGAAUUUCAGGUCUUAUGGGUAAAAUUUGUUUUUGCUUUUUCCAUUUUGUUUCAAUCCCCU